ensembl:lncRNA
AUAGAGCACUAGAUAGGGUCUACUGGGCAUAUAGAGCACUAGAUAGUGUCUACUGAGCAUAUAGAGCACUAGAUAGGUUCUACUGAGUAUAUAGAGCACUAGAUAGGGUCUACUGAGCAUAUAGUGCACUAGAUAGGGUCUACUGAGCAUAUAGUUCAGUAGAUAGGGUCUACUGAGCAUAUAGAGCACUAGAUAGGGUCUACUGAGCAUAUAGAGCACUAGAUAGGGUCUACUGAGCAUAUAGUGCACUAGAUCGGGUCUACUGAGCAUAUAGAGCACUAGAUAGGGUCUACUGAGUGUAUAGUGCACUAGAUAGGGUAUUUGGGCAUAUAGUGCACUAGAUCGGGUCUACUGAGUAUAUAGUGCACUAGAUCGGGUAUUUGGGCAUAUAGUGCACUAGUUAGGGUCUACUGAGCAUAUAGAGCACUAGAUAGGGUAUUUGGGCAUAUAGUGCACUAGAUAGGGUAUUUGGGCAUAUAGUGCACUAGAUAGGGUAUUUGGGCAUAUAGUGCACUAGUUAGGGUCUACUGAGCAUAUAGAGCACUAGUUAGGGUAUUUGGGCAUAUAGUGCACUAGUUAGGGUCUACUGAGCAUAUAGUGCACUAGUUAGGGUCUACUGAGUAUAUAGAGCACUAGAUAGGGUAUUUGGGCAUAUAGUGCACUAGAUCGGUCUACUGAGUAUAUAGUGCACUAGAUCGGGUAUUUGGGCAUAUAGUGCACUAGUUAGGGUCUACUGAGCAUAUAGUGCACUAGAUAGGGUAUUUGGGCAUAUAGUGCACUAGUUAGGGUCUACUGAGCAUAUAGUGCACUAGAUAGGGUAUUUGGGCAUAUAGUGCACUAGUUAGGGUCUACUGAGCAUAUAGAGCACUAGAUAGGGUAUUUGGGCAUAUAGUGCACUAGAUAGGGUAUUUGGGCAUAUAGUGCACUAGAUAGGGUAUUUGGGCAUAUAGUGCACUAGUUAGGGUCUACUGAGCAUAUAGAGCACUAGUUAGGGUAUUUGGGCAUAUAGUGCACUAGUUAGGGUCUACUGAGCAUAUAGAGCACUAGAUAGGGUAUUUGGGCAUAUAGUGCACUAGUUAGGGUCUACUGAGCAUAUAGUGCACUAGAUAGGGUAUUUGGGCAUAUAGUGCACUAGUUUAGGGUCUACUGAGCAUAUAGUGCACUAGAUAGGGUAUUUGGGCAUAUAGUGCACUAGUUAGGGUCUACUGAGCAUAUAGUGCACUAGAUCGGGUAUUUGGGCAUAUAGUGCACUAGUUAGGGUCUACUGAGCAUAUAGUGCACUAGUUAGG